CGGCGGACGGGUGAGUAACGCGUGGGUAACCUACCCUGUACACACGGAUAACAUACCGAAAGGUAUGCUAAUACGGGAUAAUAUAUUUGAGAGGCAUCUCUUAAAUAUCAAAGGUGAGCCAGUACAGGAUGGACCCGCAUCUGAUUAGCUAGUUGGUAAGGUAACGGCUUACCAAGGCGACGAUCAGUAGCCGACCUGAGAGGGUGACCGGCCACAUUGGGACUGAGACACGGCCCAA
rnacentral:rRNA from 1 species